rnacentral:rRNA from 1 species
AACGAACGCUGGCGGCAUGCCUAACACAUGCAAGUCGAACGAGACCUUCGGGCCUAGUGGCGCACGGGUGCGUAACGCGUGGGAACCUGCCCUUAGGUUCGGAAUAACUCCCCGAAAGGGGUGCUAAUACCGGAUAAUGUCUUCGGACCAAAGAUUUAUCGCCUUUGGAUGGGCCCGGAUUGGAUUAGCUAGUUGGUAGGGUAAAAGCCUGCCAAGGCGACGAUCCAUAGCUGGUCUGGGAGGAUGAUCAGCCACACUGGGACUGAGACACGGCCCAGACUCCUACGGGAGGCUGCAGUGGAGAAUAUUGGACGAUGAGCGAAAGCCUGAUCCAGCAAUGCCGCGUGAGAGAGGAAUGCCUUAGGGUUGUAAAGCUCUUUUACCCGGGAUGAUAAUGACAGUACCGGGAAAAUAAGCACCGGCUAACUCCGUG